UACACAGAGCUUUCUGAUGGAUAGCUUUACUUUUUGCUAAACCGCUAAGUGUAGCUGUAGUGUAUCUGUCUGUAUCUGUGGCUAGUUAGCUCGGUCAGCUAGCCGUGCAGCCAGCGGUUCUAUUAACGUACUCAGUCCCGGGGUGCCAAGAGCCAAACCCUGCAAGAAAACCACCUCGGUACUGUAUUCCCAGCGGUCAAAGUGGCCUCUGUCGGUCUCGGAAGCUGCCGUAUCCAAUCACUGAGAGCUGGAACCAGUCCUCACAGAGUCUACAUGACGGGGUGGGGGUGUAAACACACAUUCGUCGCUACUGGCGACUGUAUCCCUCCCUAGCUUUGUGUGCAAACUGUCUAUCAGUUAAGCCUAUUUAUGCAUCCAGCAGAUACAGAGCAAAAUUAGCAUUUAUUUGGUUGUGUAUCAGGCAGAUAUUUUGUCUUAAUAUUACUCUUAAUGAUCACUCAGUCAAAUAAUUAUUUCUUUUAGAUCUGAUUUGGUCUACUCCUGAGGAAGAAUAUUUGUCUCUUUAGCUUCUAAAUGCUCCACUACGUUCACCAUUGCCUGUCAGCUGUUUGGUGCUGGACAGGUAGCAUUGUCUUUUUUGUGCUGAAAACAGCUGCUUGCUGUGGCUCGAAACAAGGUCAAUCAGAGUGGUAAGACCAAAACAGUAAAGUUGUGGCCAGAAAAGCAAAACAAUGAGCUAAAAGAUGUUUAAACACUCCGUAGUGUUGUGAUCGUUUUCUGUGGGGUCAUUACCAAAAGUGACCCUUUUCACACCACACACCACACAUUUGAGACUUAAAAAAUUAUGCCGCUUUAAGAACUAGCAUUAGCAUCACCAGAUUAACCGGAUUAAUACAGUACAUCACAUACAGUAUCUUUAACAUUUUUAGAAUUCAAGAACAUUCCUGAGCAGUGGCCUCACCUCCACAUUGAAGCAGAGUGAAAGGUGAGUUCAGGUUUGAGAUGUUGUGGAAAGCUGCCCUCAAAAACAGGAUGCGGGCAGAGUUGAAGAACUGUCCGGGCCUUGGGUUGCUGAUUGUCUCAUCUGUCUUGGCUAAGUCAGCAGGAUGUGACAGCCGCCCUCUCUCCGUUACCCGCUGACCACUGGGCUUGGCAUCCUCUCCACUCACCUGUCCUAUCACCGCCUCCACCGUAUCUCUAUCCUCGCCUCACUCUCACCUCAAAGUCUUUGCAGCAAGAAUGAAGCUCAACGCCUUGGUGUCAAAGUGGAGAGAUGUAGGCUAACAAUUUCUGACUGCGGACUUACGAGUAUUGGUUCCUGGUGCUGACUUCGGUUUGUUGGUUUUUGAUAAUGCUCCCAGUCUGACAAGGUGAUAAACCUUCACUUUAAACGUAAGUGACUAAUCAGGUAAAUUUCCUUUUUGUUCACAGAGAAGGCAGGUUUUUCAGGAAGUAAUAGUUUUGGUGAAAACUUUUUAUUUGUGUGUGUAUGAUUGCAUACAUUGCAUAGCCACAUAGUAUAAAAUAGUAUAACAUUUACUUAUGCUUUUGUUUAUUAAGUUUUGCUGAAUAUGCAUGUUGAAGAUAGGGCUUCCUCUUUAUCCUGACUGAGCUGUAAAUCAUCAUUGUCACAGUGAUUGUCUUUCAGGUUGCUCAGUUCACUGUGUCUUCCUGUCUGUGUCUGUCACUCCUGGAGGAACUGUACAUCAUGCAGUAUACAUGCCUGCCUGUACUGCUCUCUUUUUUUUCAACGCAGGAUGUCAAAAUAAUAUUAUGGUGUGUCAUGUGUGAUUACUGUUUAACAAGAAAAAUCAUUUUUAGGAAGGUUUGUCAUAUGCAUGUAUCAGCUAAUAUUACAAUAUGUGUUAGAUUUUAUCGGAAUGUGGUCUAUCAAUUUUGACAAACACAAGCAUCUGCUGGUACUUGCUGUAUAUUUCCAAUUAGGCAUUACAGCGCCGAGAUUAUUAUGGUUAGGAGCUCAAUUAUAUUAUGAGCAACAUAAAAGUAGCAAAUUGUCUUUGAAAACCAAAUUCAAAGGGAGAUUUGAUAUUCUGCAUCUUAAGACCUCAAGUUCUGAUUAUUAGUAUUUUUGUGUGUCUUUCAUAACAGCUCCUUUUUACUCACUGCUCACCACAGUCCUGAUCCCAGACUUGAAACAGCGACAAAACCCAGCUCGUCAGGGAUAACAGAUGAGCAUAGAUGAACAGUGUCAGGAGGAGGCCACGCAUGUGACUGGAGCAGUGUGUCAUGACAAGUUGCCAUGUUGUGAAAUCCAAAUCUGUGAAGGGAGAGAAGUGAAUUGGUCCAUCAGCUUUCCAACAACAACAGACAGUGAAUGGCAAGGUAAGUACAGCACAGACUUGGUUAGCUCGCUGAUUAGAUGACAAGCUGUAAGGUUCGGUCAAUCAAGUACGCUUCAGAACUGCUCAUUUAAGGCUCUCGGUUAGAAAUGACGUUCUCAGCUAUCCCCAUAGGAGAGCACAAAUCCAAGAAGAGAUCUCAUGUUUCUAUCUUUUCCUUUUCCUUGUUGUACCACAUAGAUGAGACCAGGGAAUUUAUCUAACUUGUCAAAUUCAGCAGAAGAAAACAACUACAAACAUAUAUUUAUAAAAAUGAAGAAAAACAUUUAAUAUUAUGCUAUUAGUUUCAGUACAAUCUGUUCUCUUGUAUGUAUUUCUCAGUAAGUGUUAAAUAAGGAUUUUUAGUUGGUUUUAUUGUGCCGUUGACAUAAUUCAUUUUAAUAUAAUUCAUUGGUGUGUUAAGGAUGAAAUGAUGUCAGAGCAGCAGGUGGUGUUCUAACAUCUUCUCAUCGCAGAAUGAUAUUUCUUUCAGUCAUUCUGUGGCAAACAUAUUGCGGCACUAAAGUCCAUCAGCACCAAUGUUGAUUUUAUUGUUGUGCUGAUAUAAUUAAUGUUGAUAUCAUUAUCUUA